rnacentral:tRNA from 1 species
GUGAGUAAAUUUUCUAUUGGGCACAGAGUUACCUGCUAAAAUGAAGUGUGGAAAAAUACAAUGGGGUGUGUGUAUGUGAGAGAGAGAGGGAGAUUUGGAGGUGGGGUGGGGAAGACCCUAUUUGAAGUGGGCUUUGAAGAAUGAACAAGAUUUUUAUUAGGGAACAAAAUGGAAACCAGCAUUCCAGGACAAGCGUCUCAGGAGAAGCAAAAGCGCAGAGUUGUGAAAGCUCUUAGAUUUUCAGAACUUUGAAUUCUGAACUAUAUAUAAACCUGGAAAAUCUCGGUUAACUAUGGGAUGGCAUCAAGAUUUCAAUUUCAAGCUUUCUGGUCAUGCACAGUAAAGCUGGAAUUAGAGUCUCUUACGUAUGGCAGUUGUUGACAAGUCCGUACAGGUACCUAAGUGCUUCCCAGAAAAUUCCUCAAGUUGGUAGGUCCUGGGGGAAUCAGUUUAGUUCUAAAGAGAGGACUCAUCAGAGAUCUGUUCAACUUCCAGGAAUCUGUGAGGAUAGCUCCAAAUCUCACUCUCAUGCCCAGCCUAUCAAACAAAGCAAACCGGUUGGACUGAAGCUGUGGGAUCGGGACUGAAAUAGAACCAGCGAGAAAGGCAGUCCUCCUCGAUUCCUAGAGAGAACACAUUCAGCCAGCAGUUGGAUAGAGGAUACUAGCAAGUCCCUCGCCAGGGCGGGGGAGCAGAGACACAUUCCUGUCCCGUUUACAUUCUUCCUCUGGCGGAGGCGGGAGGGUCGCUUGAAGCCUCGGAUUUCGAGAUCAGCCAGGACAAAAAAGCGAGACCCCCGUUUCUACCAAAAAGGGGGGGGGGUGGGCGGGGGGAAGAGAGAGAGAGAGAGAAAGGAAAAGAAAGAGAAAGAAAAGAAAGAAAAACUAGGCGCGGUCACGUGUGCACGCUUGGGCUCGUUACUGCUCAGAAUUUUAGAAUCACAGAUCCAGCAGUGAUCAGGCAGCUGCAGCUGUCAGGGACCACCACCACCUACGCGAUUGAUCCGUGGGAGAAGCCGUCCUACUCUUUUCUUUCUCCUUUGUCCUUCUCAUUCCUGACCCCUUCAGGAUUCUCAGUCUUCCCUCCGGGAGACUUUUGGCCAGUCUUGUCUCGCUCCAACCUCCUACCCCCACCCCAUUCCUCAGUGCAUUCGUGAAUUUCUCCAAGCAGGCCUUUCCAGAUCGACACUAAGUUCCAAUCCCGAGCUGUGUGACCCAGCACCAAUUCAGUCACGAUGAUGACUUGCAAUUGCUUAAUCAGUUGGCCUUUCCUCCUAGCUGUGAAGUUUACCGUGCAGGAUUGCAAACACCAGAGAGAAAAUCAGUCUCUGGAAUGAUGCCUUUGAUGGACCAAGAUGCAGCUGAUGAAGCAUUGAACCAAUUAGCACCUAGCAGGAGGGCACCCUUGCUCUGUGUCCUUGAAGGUUAAAGCUGUCAAAAAGUGGUCUCCCUCAAGUUCGGCCAUCUUGCUCUCAGAGAUCUAGAACUGGAGAAAGAGCAGGGGGGCGGGUGUGCAGGCCGGGCGCCGUGGCUCACGCCUGUAAUCCCAGCACUUUGGGAGGCCAAGGCAGGCGGAUCACAAGGUCAGGAGUUCGAGACCAGCCUGGCCAAUAUGGUGAAACCCUGUCUCUACUAAAAAUACAAAAAUUAGCUGGGCGUGGUGGCGAAUGCCUGUAGUCCCAGCUACUCGGAAGGCUGAGGCAGGAGAAUCGCUUGAACCCGGAACCCGGGAGGCAGAGGUUGCAGUGAGCCGAGAUGGCGCCAUUGCACUCUAGCCUGGGCGACGGACUGAGACUUCGUCUCAAAAAAGGGAGUGACUGUGUUGCUUUUGCUUUCUUGGAAAUCUUUUUUCUUAGUAAUUUUCCUAAAGUAAUUUCCUUAGGAAAUAAUGUAUUGCUAAGAGUAUUGCAACUUUUAGUAUUGACGAGGUACUUUUACUGAAUCAGUAUAAGUCAACAAGCAACCACCAGAAGCUGGAAAAGGCCAGGAUAGGAUUUUACUCUAAAGUUUCUAGAGGGAGCUGGACGCAGCCCACACCUUGAUUUUGGCCCACAUACUGAUUGUGGAUUUCUGGCCUUCAGAAAUACAUAUCUGUUGUAAGAGAAUACAUAUCUGUUGUUUUUAGACAGUUUCUGAUAAUUUGUUACAGUAACCACAGGAAAUUAACACCAGGCACUAUGCAGUAAAUUCCGUAUGAACAACUCAAAUAUAAGAAUUUGUAAGACAGCCGGGCGCGGUGGCUCACGCCUGUAAUCCCAGCACUUUGGGAGGCGCGGUGGCUCACGCCUGUAAUCCCAGCACUUUGGGAGGCGCGGUGGCUCACGCCUGUAAUCCCAGCACUUUGGGAGGCCGAGGCGGGCGGAUCACCUGAGGUCGGGAGUUCCAGACCAGCCUGACCAACAUGGAGAAACCCCCAUCUCUACUAAAAAUACAAAAUUAGCCGGGCUUGGUAGCGCAUGCCUGUGAUCCCAGCUACUCGGGAGGCUGAGGCGGGAGAAUUGCUUGAACCUGGGAGGCGGAGGUUGCGGUGAGUCGAGAUCGCGAUAUUGGACUCUAGCCAACUCCAUCUCCAAAAAAAAAAAAAAAAAAGAAUUCUAAGACAGCAUAGUUUCCACUGGCAUAUUGGAUAAAAACUUCCGUCAGCAGUGAUUUUAAUGAAGAUGAAUGACAAAACAAUAAGAAACUCCAGCGCUAGUUAACUUUCUUUAUUAUGAUCUUAUUUGUCAUAAUUUUUUGCACAAUGCGUUUUUAUUUUAGGACUCAGUCAAAAUUUUGGGCCAAGGAGACCGACGCGCUGUCGCCUGCACUAAGAGAAACGCAACGAACAACUUUGUCAAUGCAUUGCAUUAUACUAUAGCAGCAACUAUACUUUUAAAUGAUUCGAAUCUUGAGGUUUCAAACUGAACCGUCUUGUGCCUUUUGCCCGGCGGGCAUUUCUGCGGGGACCGCGGGUCACCUUCUGAAUUUUUACCUUCAUAAACAGCAAGGACUGCGCUCUUUCGCACGGCGCCCCGUUUUUUCGUAGAGUUCCGUCGGCCAAAACCACUUGAAACUCGCUCAGCGGCGUCGGGGCUCCAGCCAGGCGUCACCUUCCACAGCGAACCUGCGAACCACAGCGUCCCCUGGGGGUCUCCGUCCGCGUGGCCGCUUCCUCUUACAUCGGUGACGCAAGGGAAGGGCGUCUAGGAUCCGCCGGUUUCCUUCCUCACUGCUCCCAUCAGUGCGAAAGCAACGUGUUGGGGGUUCGGGGUGUGUGGCGGCUGAACAGCUGCCUGAAGUUCUCUGAUGGCGCUGGAGGGAGCUCCAGAGAAGAGGUCAUGGGGAGAAGGCACACCUUAAACGCCCCGGGGUGGGGGGGGGGGGCGACAUUCCCUAAUGGGAAAAAAGACACACCUUAAACGCAGUAGAGGGCGACAUUCUCUACUAGGGAAAAUGCGGAAGAACACAGUUGUAAUCAACGGUAGCGUGGCCGAGCGGUCUAAGGCGCUGGAUUAAGGCUCCAGUCUCUUCGGGGGCGUGGGUUCAAAUCCCACCGCUGCCAAGUACUUUUCAUUCUCACUAGGGACUGUUUUUAGGAGAAUCCCUUUCCAAAUGUUCAGUAUGAAUGGUUCUUACGUAUCAAUCCCAUUCUCCUCUUCGACUUCUGUUUACCACGGAGCCAGAGAUAACCGUCCCCAGAACAAUGUUCCCCCAUUAUUUAGAGGACAGUGUACUCCAGGCGCCUCAGAUACAGCAAUGAGUGACACAAGCAAAAAAACCCUUAAUGGCACAUACUUAGUGAGGUGGCACGAUCUCGGCUCACUGUAACCUCCGCCUCCCCGGUUCAAGCCAUUCUCCUGCCUCAGUCUCCCGAGUGGCUGGGAUUACAGGUGCGCGCCACCACGCCCUGGCUAAUUUUUGUAUUUUUAGUAGAGACGGGGUUUCGCCAUGUUGGUCAGGCUGGUCUCGAACUCCUGGCCUCAAGUGAUCCUCCCUCCUCGGCCUCCCACAGUGCUGGGAUUACAGGCGUGGGCCACCGCACGCAGCCUGAAGGAUUAAUUUAUGUUUGGAAUCAGCUGCUGUUCUUCCUCCAGCCUCUCUGUAGUGUGCUCACUUCACACUUGGAACCAUAGUUAUAUGGUAUAGAGAAGAGACAACUCUAGGGAAAGUGCCAGUGCCUUGCCUUACCUUACAACUGCCAGACACACCCAGUCAGGUACCUUCUCUGUGGGCUUCUCAGUACCCCGUAUCUCUGUGGUUGCCGGGGGAGCCCUAUCUCUCCUCGGAGCAGUUCUCUCUGCAUACUUCUGGUCUGUCUCUCAUUCUCUAGACCUCAGCUUGGAAGUUGUUUCUCCUUGGAAGCCUUCCCUCAUCUCCUUCUCUUCCUCUUUCCAGCUUCAUAAAGUUUGGGAGGGUAUGGAGAGGAUAAGGAAGGGAACAGCACAGAACGUCCUUGCCCCACGGAACUCAGAGUUUAGUGGGGUUCUCAUGGGGGUUCACAAGGAUUAGAUAAGUUAUUGCCCUAAUAUGGGGCAAACUCUACUAAAAAGGAGAUAGCUUUCUAUGUGUAGAUUUUGAAUGAUGUUCCAGAUUUAAGAGAAUAAAAAGAAAAUAAUAUGAAUUGUAUGUUAGAAAGAAGGACUGUCACAGAAUUGUUCCCAACUGGGAUUACAGGUGCAGGCCACUAGGUCCGGCUAAUUUUUGUAUUUUUAGUAGAGAGGGGCGUUUUGCCAUGUUGGCCAGGCUGGUCUCAAACUCCUGACCUCAAGUGAUCCUCCCACCUGGGACUCCCCAAGUGCUGGGAUUACAGGUGUGAGCCACCACGCCUGACCACCUUUAUUGAUUUUUGAAUGCUAAUCCAACUUCUCCAUGCUAGAAUAAUCUUAACUUGUUCAAGACAUGUAAUCUUUUAAAAAAUGUAUAUUCCUGGAUUCAGUUUGUUACUAUCUCAAGAUUUUUCUCACUACAUUCAUGAAUGAUAAUAGCCUGUAAUUUUCUUUUUUAAAAAAUUUCCUUGUGUUGUUUGUUUUUCCUCAUCGUUCCCUAAUGGUUUGGUAUUAAGGUUAUACAGGCCUCAUAAAAUGAGUUUAACAUUGGGAUUAUUUUCCCUUGCAUGUUUAGUAGAAUUAACUGGUGAAAACAUCUGACCCUUGAGUUUUCUUUCUGGGAAUAUAUAUUAUAGGUUCUAUUUAAAUAAUUGGUAUCAGACUAUUCAGAUCUUAUAUUUUUUUCCUGUACUAGUUUUAGAAACAAGAGUCUUCCUAAGGAAAUAUACCAGAUGAACCUGGAAAAUCUUUUCACCAGAAAGCAAGGAGGCUACUGAAGACUACUUUAGUCAUGUUAAACAAAAAAGGCUUGUGCUGACACCUAUGAAGUAGUCUUACCCAAAUCAAAUCUAAAUAUAGAAUUUGAUAAAGCCCUUAGAUCUAACUAUUAAUUUUUAGGACAUGCAGGGGCAGAGGAAUGUGUUAAAUACUACCAAAGGUGUGCAAUAAUUAAAAUCCAAACUGUGAAACUCUGCAGCACCAGCAACCUAGUUAAUCAUUAAAUAAAUUUCAAGAAAAAAGAGAUAUAGGGAGAACUUAUAUAUUAAAAUACUUAAGAUACAUACCAACUAAUCACAAUGUAUUGACCUUAUUUGAAUACUUUUUUUUUUUUUUUUCUGAGACAGUGUCUCACUCUGUCACCCAGGCUGGAGUGUGGUGGCACAAUCACGGCUCACUGCAGCUUUGACCUCCCAAGCUCGUCUCCCGAGUAGCUGGGACCACAGUCAUGCACCACCAUGCCUGGCUAAUUUUUGAAUUUUUUGUAGAGACAGGGUCUUGCUAUGUUGCCCAGGCUGGUCUUGAACUCCUGAGCCCAAGUGAUCUUCUUGCCUUGGCCUCCCAAAGUACUGGGAUUACAGGUGUGAGCCAUGGUGCCUGGCUUGGUUUUUUUUAAUGUUAAGAAAAAAUGGCAUUAGAGAAAAAUUUGAACAGCGAAUGAAUCUUUGAUGAUGUUGCCAAAUAGAUAAUUUUGUUUAGGUGUGAUAACUGUACUAGUGUUAGUUUACUUAUAUUUUUGGUUUGUUUUUUAGAGAUGGGGUCUUGCAAUAUUGCCCAAGCUAACCUCAAACUUUAGGGCUCAAGGAGUCCUCCCACUUCAGCCUCUUAAGUAGCUGGGACUACAGCAUAGGCCGUCGUGCCCCUGGCUCUAUUAUUAGUUUGUUAGUUAGUUUGUUUGUUUGUUUAUUUAUUUAUUUAUUUAUUUUGAGACUGAGUCUUGCUCUGUCGCCCAGGCUGGAGUGCAGUGGCGCGAUCUCGGCUCACUGCAACCUCUACCUCCCGGGUUCAAGCAAUUCUCCUGCCUCAGCCUCCCGAGUAGCUGGGAUUACAGGCGCCUGCCACCACGCCUGGCUAAUUUUUGUAUUUUUAGUACAGGCGGGGUUUCACCAUGUUGGCCAGGCUGGUCUUGAACUCCUGACCUCAGGCAAUCCAUCCACCUCAGCCUCCCAAAAGUGCUGGAAUUACAGGUGUGAGCCACCGUGCCCGGCCCAUAUUGUUAGUUUUUUUAAACAGUCAUUAUCUCCUAUAGACAAUUAAAUACUUAUGGAUGAAACACAAUUUCUGUCAUUUGCUUGAAAAUAAUCUUAAGCAGAGGGAAUGGGUGGGGAUACAGAUGAAACAAGAUUAACCCUGACGUAAUAAUUGUUGAAGCUGAAUGAUGUGUACAUGGAGUUCAUUUUUCUAUUGCCUUAACUCUUGCAUGGGUUUGAAAUGUUCUAUAAUAAACUUUAUUUUUUAUUUAUUUAUUUUUUUGAGAUGGAGUUUCGCUCUUAUUGCCCAGGCUGGAGUGCAAUGGCACAAUCUCGGCUCACCACAACCUCUGCCUCCCGGGUUCAAGCGAUUCUCCUGCCUCAGACUCUGAGUAGCUGGGAUUACGGGCAAGCGCCACCAUGCCUGGCUAAUUUUUGCAUUUUUAGUAGAGACAGGGUUUCUCCAUAUUGGUCAGGCUGGUCUUGAACUCCUGACCUCAGAUGAUCUGCCCACCUCAGCCUCCCAAAGUGCUGGGAUUACAGGCAGGAGCCACUGCGCCCGGCCAAUACAUUUUUUUUAAUAGAGGAGGACUAUAAAACCUAUGGGAAGCUCUGAUGGCACGACUAUGACUUGCUGAUGUUCACUACAGGUUAUCUGGCUAGGCCACUUGCUGAGAAACUCCUGAUGUAUCUUCAAGUCUAUUCUGGUUGGAUUUCUCACUGAAAACUGCGUCUUUUGUCUGGGAGGUGAAAGCCAGACCCUCAUCUUUCUGGGAGAUAAGGAAAGUAGGCUGGAGGCGUUGACAUUCAGUAUGCUCCUUUUUCAAAUGGAAUUCCUGUCCUCCAUGUGUCUAGCCCACAUAUCCUUUGUUUAACCUUCUUCAGAAAAUAAACCUCCAGUCUUCUUUGGGCUUGAGGACCUAGGACUCUGCUUGCUUCCUAAAUAGCCUCUGACAGACUCUCCUCGUUUUAGUCUAUUCAUUCUCAUUUCCAGGGGUACAUGGUGCCACCAAUUCUUGAGUCGCUUAAAGAUUCUAUGAUGUAAAAUAAAUGUCUUUUUUUUUUUCUUUUCUUUUUUAGAAGGAGUCUCACUCUGUUGCCCAGACUGGAGUGCAGUGGUGCAAUCUCGGCUAACUGCCACUUCCGCCUCCCACUCCCCAGUAGCUGGGACUACAGGCACGCACCACCAAGCCCAGCCAAUUUUUCUAUUUUUAAUAAAGAGACAGGGUUUCACCAUGUUGGCCAGGCUGGUCUCAAAUUGCUGAUCCCAAGUGAUCUGCCCAUCUCAGCCACCCAAAGUGCUGGGAUUACACGUGUCAACCACGGUGCCCGGUCAGAUUUGUCCUUUACUUGCCCCCUUCAGGCUAAAAUUUAGCUUUCUCAAAUUCAAUGUCAUUAUUACUUAUCCUUUUUUCAGUUUCCAAAAUUUUGUAGUUGCCUCUUCUGCCAUUCUUCCUGAUUAUGAAUGGUUUUACUGUAGCAUUAGUGUAGUUCUGAGGGGGAGCAAUACCAAAUACACGUAGUCAAGCUACAAUCCUUACCAAGAAGUAUCUUAUCAUCUUUCUUAAACUUAAAUGAAAUUGGCAUUCUCCAUUUCUUUUGUGAAGGUAAAAAUAAUCUCAUAUCAGUGUUCUGGUAAAAAUUUUGUGUUUGCACGUGGAAUGUAAUUCGAUUUAAAAAGUGAGUUUUACCUGGUGAUUUUUGUAUGUAAAUUAUAACUUAGACUAACUCUUGUUUGGUAACUCUUCAGAAUUAGAACUACAGAUAUCUUAGGGUUUCAAGCAACAUGUUUUGUCAUUCAACUAUGCACCUGACCUUCGAAUUCCUUCAGUAUUAUUCUUACCAAACUUAUUACCUUAUGGCAG